AGCAACUGCCAGCCAAUCAGAUGUGUUCCCACUAAGUUAUGGGAAUUGGCAGAGUCUCUCUCUUUACUGUGGGCUUUCCUGCUGGGUGGUUGCAGGGAGAGCUCCUCUGUGGGGAGAAAGAGUGGGUGGCUGCUGGGGGAAGUGAGGAUACAGUACCAGGACCCAAGUUUAACUGAAUGUGGCUUUGCUACUGAAGAAAAGAAAUUGACUGGAUAUUACUGAACGAGGAGACUUGAGAAUGAAGCUGACUAAAUUGGAGCCUAAUAUAAAAUCUCUCUGCAGCAUCAAGCACAAGUAUCUCACUAACUUAAGUAGACUAAAGCUGCAAUCCUACAUCAUUUGAAGACAGUGGUACUUACUUCUGAGUAGACAUGCAUAGGAUUGUAUGGUAAAUAUGAUCUUGAGGUGAGAAUAUACAGCAAGGCUGGAACAGGCCUUGGGCAAUUCUGGAAAGUAGUGAGAUUGCUUUUCACCAGCCCCAAAGUUCUGGACUACAAAAACUCAACUUCAGCUGAAGUGCAAACAAAACGCUCUGACUUGAACAAUUUCAUGAGAGCUGCAAAGUUUUCUGAAGACCCACAGCCUUGAAUUCUAUUAGUAAAACACAAGAAUUGUUUUCUUGUACAAGAUGUGAUGUUGGAAAUAUGAACGGCAGGCUGAGCAUACUCCUGAGUUAUCCGUGACCAUUAGAUUGAGCACAUUUCUUAGAGCCAGAAGAUAGUAGCACCUCUUGGGAUUGCAUAGUUCAGGAAUGGUUGUGUGUUCAUCUUUCUAAGUAGACUCAGAGUUGAAGCUUUAAAGAAGAACAGAACUUGAAGUUUAUCCUGAUUUAGUCAUAACUGAGUUGAAAAACAAGAGCAAAAAAUCCAGGAAAGGAACUCAGCACAGCAACGAUAGCAAGUCCAUAAGGAUCUGAGCAGAAGUUGUUUCAUCAAUCAUAGAAAGUUAACUUAAAGUUAUUAAAGCUACUAAAGGCUACAUGCCAUAGCUUCUGGUCCUGUCGUCAGAGAAACCCACCCAGUUAUAUAGGCAUUUACAUCUAUAGACUUUGUAUGUUGGUGUAGUAGACUAUCAUAUUGAACACCUAUAAUAAAAAAAAAAUGUGCUCAUAGAUGUGAUAACAGGAUGAUUUCAGAAUAUAACAGAUAACAGAAAUAUCUAGAAAUUCCGUUUCCGUUUCAGUUUCAGUUUCAGGUAUGCAUGUCUCUAUGUGGCAUGGAUUCUGUAGUUUUAUUCUUCUAUUUCAACCUGGCUUUUCCUCAAACAUUCUCAUUUCAUGUUAAUGCUGAAAAUUGGCCAACAUUGUGAAUGAAUUUUAUUGACUUUUUUAUGUUUAAGUGAAUCAUAUAAAUUCUCUUGAAAAUUGUA